rnacentral:lncRNA from 1 species
UUUGAUAUCAACAGUGUUGUCGUAGUGUUAGUUCAACAAAAAUUGAUGUUUAUUACAAAAAUAUCAUGAUUUAAUGUAUAAUUCUGUGAAAUAUCGUUUCUAAAAUAGUUUUUCUGCAAAACUUAACGUUUAAAAUAGUUUCAAACUGUUAAUAAUUGCAUAAUACGAAGCUAAUCUGUUCAUUGGCCUGAUCGCCCAAAUUUACAUUAAAUUGAUUACAUGAUUUUGCUACGAAUAUUGAUUGAAUCCAUUUGAACGGAUUGGCACAUGGAGAGGUUUAGUGAAUACUACUGUAAUAUAGAUUGACAAUGGACCAAAACAUACAAGCUGAACCUCCUGAUGCAGCUGUAAAGUGUAUUGGAAUGUUGGAAGCGCGGAGGAAUCUCACUGCUUUGAGAGAAGACCUCGACGACUUGAGAAGACUUGAGGAAGAAUGUUACUGCUCAUCUCCAAUCUGUGCAGCCUUGGAUUACUUCACAACUUGAUGCAUUAUACAUCAACAAACUGAGUUGAGGUAACAUCAAGACUUGAGGAAGAAUGUUACUGCUCAUCUCCAAUCUGUGCAGCCUUGGAUUACUUCACAACUUGAUGCAUUAUACAUCAACAAACUGAGUUGAGGAAACAUCAAGACUUGAGGAAGAAUGUUACUGCUCAUCUCCAAUCUGUGCAGCCUUGGAUUACUUCACAACUUGAUGCAUUAUACAUCAACAAACUGAGUUGAGGUAACAUCAAGACUUGAGGAAGAAUGUUACUGCUCAUCUCCAAUCUGUGCAGCCUUGGAUUACUUCACAACUUGAUGCAUUAUACAUCAACAAACUGAGUUGAGGAAACAUCAAGACUUGAGGAAGAAUGUUACUGCUCUUCUCCAAUCUGUGCAGCCUUGGAUUACUUCACAACUUGAUGCAUUAUACAUCAACAAACUGAGUUGAGGUAACAUCAAGACUUGAGGAAGAAUGUUACUGCUCAUCUCCAAUCUGUGCAGCCUUGGAUUACUUCACAACUUGAUGCAUAUACAUCAACAAACUGAGUUGAGGUAACAUCAAGACUUGAGGAAGAAUGUUACUGCUCAUCUCCAAUCUGUGCAGCCUUGGAUUACUUCACAACUUGAUGCAUUAUACAUCAACAAACUGAGUUGAGGUAACAUCAAGACUUGAGGAAGAAUGUUACUGCUCAUCUCCAAUCUGUGCAGCCUUGGAUUACUUCACAACUUGAUGCAUUAUACAUCAACAAACUGAGUUGAGGUAACAUCAAGACUUGAGGAGAAUGUUACUGCUCAUCUCCAAUCUGUGCAGCUUGGAUUACUUCACAACUUGAUGCAUUAUACAUCAACAAACUGAGUUGAGGAAACAUCAAGACUUGAGGAAGAAUGUUACUGCUCAUCUCCAAUCUGUGCAGCCUUGGAUUACUUCACAACUUGAUGCAUUAUACAUCAACAAACUGAGUUGAGGUAACAUCAAGACUUGAGGAAGAAUGUUACUGUUCAUCUCCAAUCUGUGCAGCCUUGGAUUACUUCACAACUUGAUGCAUUAUACAUCAACAAACUGAGUUGAGGAAACAUCAAGACUUGAGGAAGAAUGUUACUGCUCA